rnacentral:rRNA from 1 species
CUAUGCGCCUUGCCAGCCCGCUCAGGUGUGCCAGCCGCCGCGGUAAUACGUAGGUGGCAAGCGUUGUCCGGAUUUACCGGGUGUAAAGGGCGUGUAGCCGGGCUGACAAGUCAGAUGUGAAAUCCGGGGGCUCAACCCCCGAACUGCAUUUGAAACUGUUGGUCUUGAGUAUCGGGGAGGCAGGCGGAAUUCCUAGUGUAGCGGUGAAAUGCGUAGAUAUCAGGAGGAACACCGGUGGCGAAGGCGGCCUGCUGGACUGCAACUGACGUUGAGGCCCGAAAGCGUGGGGAGCAAACAGG